rnacentral:rRNA from 1 species
CGCAAGGCGGCAGACUACCAUGCAAGUCGAGCGGUAGCACAGAGAGCUUGCUCUCGGGUGACGAGCGGCGGACGGGUGAGUAAUGUCUGGGAAACUGCCUGAUGGAGGGGGAUAACUACUGGAAACGGUAGCUAAUACCGCAUAACGUCGCAGACCAAAGUGGGGGACCUUCGGGCCUCAGCCAUCAGAUGUGCCCAGAUGGGAUUGCUAGUAGGUGGGGAACGGCUCACCUAGGCGAGAUCCCUAGCUGGUCUGAGAGGAUGACCAGCCACACUGGAACUGAGACACGGUCCAGACUCCUACCGGAUGCACCAUUGGGGAAUAUUGCAAAUUGGGCGCAAGCCUGAUGCCGCCAUGCCACGUGUGUUAAGA